UACGAAGGGGGCUAGCGUUGCUCGGAAUCACUGGGCGUAAAGCGCACGUAGGCGGCUUGUUAAGUCAGGGGUGAAAUCCUGGAGCUCAACUCCAGAACUGCCUUUGAUACUGGCGAGCUCGAGUCCGGGAGAGGUGAGUGGAACUGCGAGUGUAGAGGUGAAAUUCGUAGAUAUUAGGAAGAACACCAGUGGCGAAGGCGGCCAACUGGCCCGAUACUGACGCUCAUGUGCGAAAGCGUGGGGAGCAAACAGG
rnacentral:rRNA from 1 species